AGGAUGGUAUCCAUGCGGAACCAUACCUUGGAAAAUCUUUUUUUGCCAGUAAAAUAUUUUCUAUACCGCUUGGAGCCGGACGGACCGAGACGGGGGU
rfam:Desulfotomaculum sp. LMa1 LMA27_trimmed_contig_55, whole genome shotgun sequence.